rnacentral:lncRNA from 1 species
ACCCCACAACUACCCAGGGACUUGCUCUGCUUAAUGUGUGAAGUCAGGGAAUGAGGUCAUCACAUCUCCAUAUAGGAGCCCUCCACAGAACAUUCCUCUGCUCUCAUCCUUCUGCUAACCAGGACUCUUUGUUCUUCAAGAAAACAAGAUACGUGGGAAGGUGAGGAGUAUGUGUUCGGUGGCACAGAAGCCUAAUAUCUGAGAAAAGAUGUUCAGUUGAGAACAACAAGCACUUCUGCAUCAAGCUGACAUUGAAGAGCCAUGUCUUCAUUCUCACACUCACUGGCUUUUGCGAUGACCCCAUCCCCUACCAUACCAUACAAAGAUGUCACCUUAGACAUCCUAUCCAAUUAAGCUUCAUCUCACACAGAACAAUCAAGUUUUCUUAUUUCCAAUAGGCUUCAGGCAAAUGUGUACAGGAGCAUUAGUAGAUCAGUAGUUCCACAUGACUUGACUGUCAUUCCCAUGAGACACUGUGUAAAUGCCUGGCUUGGAACCUCUUGGAAAUUAAGGUGUUAACAAACACAGCGCACAGAGCUGAAGUUCAGAAAUGAUUACCUGGAAGAACUAUGGCCACUGAAUCCCAGUCUCCUAAGAAGAACUAAACCACUACAUGCCAUACUGGGGCCCAAACUCAUCAUCCUUCUCUGGAGAUUGACAUCACUAGAGAAGCAAGCAAGAUUCAGACGGCUACUGACUUGUCUCUUUCAAGGGUUUAGGACAGAAGCUAGACCGUAUUUUUCAUCAAGACAAUACAAAAAGGCAAUGUGGCAGAUCUGAACCCGCGCACACAAGGGCAUGUCUUCAUGUCACUAGUGUAGGGGUUUCCGGGGGCAGGAGGGUGGGGAACUGGAAAAGGGGAAAACAUUUGAAAUGUAAAUAAAGAAAAUAUUCAAUAAAAAAUUUAAAAAAUAAGUUUGUCAGCAUUU